GGUUCUGUGGCUUAUGUGGCCAAAGCACCUGUCUUGUAAACAGGAGAUCCUGGGUUCGAGCCCCAGCAGGGCCU